ACGGGAGGCAGCAGUGGAGAAUCUUGCACAAUGGGGGAAACCCUGAUGCAGCAACGCCGCGUGAAGGAUGAAGGCCCUUGGGUCGUAAACUUCUUUUCUGAGGGAAGAUAAUGACGGUACCUCAGGAAUAAGUCCCGGCUAACUACGUGCCAGCAGCCGCGGUAAUACGUAGGGGGCGAGCGUUAUCCGGAAUUAUUGGGCGUAAAGAGUACUUAGGUGGUUUCCUAAGCAUGGGGUUUAAGGCAAUGGCUUAACUAUUAUUCGCCCCAUGAACUGGGUUACUUGAGUGCUGGAGGGGAAAGCGGAAUUCCUAGUGUAGCGGUGAAAUGCGUAGAUAUUAGGAGGAACACCAGUGGCGAAGGCGGCUUUCUGGACAGUAACUGACACUGAGGUACGAAAGUGUGGGGAGCAAACAGGAUUAGAUACCCUGGUA
rnacentral:rRNA from 1 species